AGAACCUUUAAGACAGUCCAGAGAGGCUGAUAAGGAAGCGGAGAUGAACAGGAUACGUAUGUAUCCAAGCCCCUUAUUGCCUCAUGGUGAUAAGGGGUUUUUUCA
rfam:Terribacillus aidingensis strain MP602, complete genome.